CCUACGGGUGGCUGCAGUGGGGAAUAUUGCACAAUGGGGGAAACCCUGAUGCAGCGACGCCGCGCGAGUGAAGAAGUAUCUCGGUACGUAAAGCUCUAUCAGCAGGGAAGAACAUGACGGUACCUGACUAAGAAGCACCUGCUAACUCCGGGCCAGCAGCCGCGGUAAUACGUAGGGGGCAAGCGUUAUCCGGAUUUACUGGGUGUAAAGGGAGCGUAGACGGCAGCACAAGUCUGGAGUGAAAUCCCGGGGCUUAACCCCGGAACUGCUUUGGAAACUGGGCGGCUGGAGUGCAGGAGGGGGAAGCGGAAUUCCUAGUGUAGCGGUGAAAUGCGUAGAUAUUAGGAGGAACACCAGUGGCGAAGGCGGCUUACUGGACUGUAACUGACGUUGAGGCGCGAAAGCGUGGGUAGCAAACAGGAUUAGAUACCCCAGUAGUC
rnacentral:rRNA from 1 species